GACGUAGGGCGCGAGCGUUGUCCGGAAUUAUUGGGCGUAAAGAGCUCGUAGGCGGUCUGUCACGUCGGAUGUGAAAACUCGGGGCUCAACCCCGAGCCUGCAUACGAUACGGGCAGACUUGAGUUCGGCAGGGGAGACUGGAAUUCCUGGUGGUAGCGGUGAAAUGCGCAGAUAUCAGGAGGAACACCGGUGGCGAAGGCGGGUCUCUGGGCCGAUACUGACGCUGAGGAGCGAAAGCGUGGGGAGCGAACAGG
rnacentral:rRNA from 1 species